GGCGAGUUAGGAAAGAGGUUAUCCAGAGGUUUGCAAAACCUUUUAGACCGGUUCGAUUCCGGUACUCGCCUCCA
rnacentral:tRNA from 2 species